AUUGAACGCUGGCGGCAGGCCUAACACAUGCAAGUCGGGCGAGCGGCGGACGGGUGAGUAACACGUAUCCAACCUGCCCUUUACUCGGGGAUAGCCUUUCGAAAGAAAGAUUAAUACCCGAUAUAAAGGAUGGGGAUGCGUUACAUUAGGUUGUUGGUGAGGUAACGGCUCACCAAGCCUUCGUUGGAUAGGGGUUCGGAGGGGAAGGUCCCCAGCAAUUGAAAUGAGGCACGGUCCAAACUGGGACGGGGGGCAGGAGUAAGGAAUAUUGGGGAAGGGGCGCUGACCUGAACCAGCCAAGUAGCGUGAAGGAUGAAGGCUUAUGGGUCGUAAACUUCUUUUAUGUAAGAAUAUGUAUUAUAUGAAUAAGGAUCGGCUAACUCCGUGCCAGCAGCCGCGGUAAUUC
rnacentral:rRNA from 1 species